CCUACGGGAGGCAGCAGUGGGGGAUAUUGCACAAUGGGGGGAACCCUGAUGCAGCGACGCCGCGUGGGUGAAGAAGCGCCUCGGCGCGUAAAGCCCUGUCAGCAGGGAAGAAAAUGACGGUACCUGAAGAAGAAGCCCCGGCUAACUACGUGCCAGCAGCCGCGGUAAUACGGAGGGGGGAAGCGUUAUCCGGAUUUACUGGGUGUAAAGGGGGCGCAGACGGCGAUGCAAGCCAGGAGUGAAAGCCCGGGGCCCAACCCCGGGACUGCUCUUGGGAUUGCGUGGCUAGAGUGCAGGAGGGGCAGGCGGAAUUCCUGGUGUAGCGGUGAAAUGCGUAGAUAUCAGGAGGAACACCGGUGGCGAAGGCGGCCUGCUGGACUGCAACUGACGUUGAGGCCCGAAAGCGUGGGGAGCAAACAGGAUUAGAUACCCGGGUAGUC
rnacentral:rRNA from 1 species